ACAGAGACAGAGAGAGAGAGACAGACAGAGAGAGACAGAGACAGAGAGAGAGAGACAGAGAGAGAGAGACAGAGAGAGAGAGAGAGAGAGAGAGAGAGAGAGAGAAAGAAAGAAACAUCCUUUACAGAAAGGUACAGAGGAUUGUAAGACAUGGCAGACAGGCCUGAAAUGACCCCUUGGGUGUCACAGUUACAGGGUAUGGGCUUCACUCAUCCUCUGCCAGAUCCAGCUAACUUAGGUUCUCCUACCAGAGGGUAAACAGUAGAGCCCAGGAUCUGCUGCCUGCAGAAACAGGCUUGCUGACCUGCAAUUUUCUUUCCUGAUUUGAUGGAGGCCAAAUAUUUAACAUUAGUGCUUACAAUACGUAUAGUGGUUAGGGAGUUCUGGCUCUGAAGUCACUGCUUGCCUUUGAAUCCUGGCUCUGCCCUUACUAGACAAACUAUCCAACCUCUUUGUGCCUUAGUUUCCUCAUAUACAAAAUGGAAGGAAUGAGUAUAGAUCUCUCAUGGAAUCAUUAUGAGUUUUAAAUGAGAUAAUAUAUAUAUACAGUGCAUGAGACAGUGCUUGCAUAUAAAAAUCCCUUAGAAACAAGCAUUAUUACUAACAUUUGUGUUGGCUUAUGGAUAUAACUAUAAUCCAGACAGUAUGUUAAAUGCAUACAUCUUCACAUUUAUGCUGUGAUCUCUGUAACAUUAAUAUGUUCUUUCUAUAGACAAAGAAACAGAUAUAGAAAAUGACUCUACCAAAGGCACCCAAGCUGAUUUCUCCAGGAACUCUUUCAAGUGAGAAAUAUUUUUUCCCUCAUCUGGGUCCCUGCCACACUGUGUAACAUCUCCAUGACGAUGCUUACUGAACUGUACUGUAAUUAACUUUAUUAUUUUCUCCUUCCCAUUAGACUAGUAGUUGACAAACUACAGCCCUUUGGACCAAACUUGAUUUUUAAAGAAAAAUUGGAACACAGCCAUGGCCGUUUAAAGCUACAGCGGCAGAGCCAAGUAAUUGCAACAGACUAUAUGGCUCACAAAGCUAAAAAUACUGACUCUCUGACCCUUUAGAGAAAAAGUCUGCCAACCCCUGCAUUAGACUUUGAGACUAAAAAUACAAAAAAAAUAGCCAGGCAUGGUGGCAAGCACCUGUAAUCCCAGCUACUUGGGAGGCUGAGGCAGGAGAAUCACUUAAACCCUGAAGGCAGAGGUUGCAAUGAGCCGAGAUCAUACCAUUGCACUCCAGCCUGGGCAACAAGAGUGAGACCCUGUUGCAAAAAAUAAUAAAUAAAUAAAUAAAUAAAUAAAUAAAUAAAUAAAUCCCAAGUAAAGAAAUGAGUGAAAACACGGCAGACUUGAAUGGCUGCCACUUCUCAAGGAACAACUGCCUCAGGGGCCCAAGUGUCAGAGUUUUGAGCUCCAUCCAGAUUCUUAGAAUCCCCUCAGCUCUAUGAUGCUGCCAACUGUGUAGGGGUCCCCACAGGUGACUCUGAGACAGAACUAGUAUCAACUCUCCACAUUAUCACCCCAGCACCUCUCACAGCCUCCUAAAAGAGAGGACCAUCAUCUUCUUAUAAGAAAACCCCUCUUAAAUUCUCACCUGUGAAAUGGAAAAGUUGCUAGAGAUGGUUCAGAGGGCCUUUCCCACCUCCUUUUUUGCCCACUGUUUCCUGACCCCAGCCUUGUUGCUAUGGCUUUCCUUGGAAUCUCCAAUGCAUUGAAUCAGAAUUUGCCUUUCUGCCUGAGGCAGGAUGUCCCAUGACCACUUUAGCCUCUUGUUGGAAAACAAUGAAGAAAAUAGCUACCAUUAAUGGAGCUCCUGCUCUGUGCCAGGGACUGUGCCAUGUACUUCACUCUGAGAAGCAAGGGCCCUGCUUAUCCCCAUUUGAAAUGGGAAAAAGCCUCUGAUUAAACCGCUUGCCCAAAUCUCCUGGCAGUAAGUGGUGGAGCAGGAUUUCGUCCCAGCCUCAUGCUGUUUCCACAUCUCCACAGUGGCCCCGGGCUGUGAUCCUUCCCUGGACCUGAGCUUCACUAUUGGACCAGAUGAGCCUCUCGGAUCCAUCCCAGCCUGGCACGUCUAGAUCCUGCCUCCCAACGCAGGCCGCUGAGAUGUUCACUUGAAUCUCUCACCAUGGACAUUACCCAAACAUUACCUAAUGUUUUCCAGAGAGAAGAAUCCUAUUUCUUUCUGUGUUUUAGAUUCCAAACCAAAAGGGGACAUAAUUGUGUGGUGAAAAUAACAAGGGACUUCAAAUCAGAAAACCCAGGCUCAGAUCCUGGCUCUAAUAUUUACCAGUCAUGUCAUUUUAGGGUUACAGCCUUUCCAAAUACCUUUCCCCUAAUCUGUAAAGUGGAGAUCAUAGUAACUACGUCAGCAGGAUGCUACGAAGACCAAGUGAGAAGCCUGGCAUCUGGCAGGUACUCAAGAAACAAAAAUACAAGCCCACAAAACAAAAACCACCACAAGACACUUCAUGCCUCUGUCCUCCUAGUUUCUAUGGAGAGGUAUAAGACUUUUGUCUCUACCUCAUUUCAUUUACAAGGACUUCCCACUAAAAAGUGAACCAGAGAUGCUCUAGACAAAGUUAAUUGCCAGAGACCUCUCAGUAUAUGUAUGACUAAACCCAAACAAAUAACUUGAAGAAAAUGUUCUCUUUUUCAGUGAAAUAAAAGUAAUUCCCAUUCA